CGGUAAUAAACCGGAGGAAGUGGGGAUGACGUCAAAUCAUCAUGCCCCUUAUGACCUGGGCUACACACGUGCUACAAUGGUUGGUACAACGAGUUGCGAGUCGGUGACGGCGAGCUAAUCUCUUAAAGCCAAUCUCAAGUUCGGAUUGUAGGCUGCAACUCGCCUACAUGAAGUCGGAAUCGCUAGUAAUCGUGGAUCAGCAUGUCACGGUGAAUACGUUCCCGGGUCUU
rnacentral:rRNA from 1 species